rnacentral:tRNA from 1 species
GGGGGCAUAGUUCAGCUGGGAGAGCACCUGCUUUGCAAGCAGGGGGUCGUCGGUUCGAUCCCGUCUGCCUCCACCA